rnacentral:rRNA from 1 species
GAGUUUGAUCCUGGCUCAGGACGAACGCUGGCGGCGUGCUUAACACAUGCAAGUCGAACGCUGAAGACCUGGCUUUUGUUGGGUUGGAUGAGUGGCGAACGGGUGAGUAACACGUGAGUAACCUGCCCCCUUCUUUGGGAUAACGCCCGGAAACGGGUGCUAAUACUGGAUAUUCACUGAUCUUCGCAUGGGGGUUGGUGGAAAGGUUUGUUCUGGUGGGGGAUGGGCUCGCGGCCUAUCAGCUUGUUGGUGGGGUGAUGGCCUACCAAGGCUUUGACGGGUAGCCGGCCUGAGAGGGUGACCGGUCACAUUGGGACUGAGAUACGGCCCAGACUCCUACGGGAGGCAGCAGUGGGGAAUAUUGCACAAUGGGCGGAAGCCUGAUGCAGCGACGCCGCGUGAGGGAUGGAGGCCUUCGGGUUGUAAACCUCUUUCGCUCAUGGUCAAGCCGCAACUGUGGGUUGUGGUGAGGGUAGUGGGUAAAGAAGCGCCGGCUAACUACGUGCCAGCAGCCGCGGUAAUA